GUAGGUGGCAAGCGUUGUCCGGAAUUAUUGGGCGUAAAGCGCGCGCAGGCGGUCCUUUAAGUCUGAUGUGAAAGCCCACGGCUCAACCGUGGAGGGUCAUUGGAAACUGGGGGACUUGAGUACAGAAGAGGAAAGCGGAAUUCCAAGUGUAGCGGUGAAAUGCGUAGAGAUUUGGAGGAACACCAGUGGCGAAGGCGGCUUUCUGGUCUGUAACUGACGCUGAGGCGCGAAAGCGUGGGGAGCAAACAGGGGGUUAGAUACCCUGGUAGUCCACGCCGUAAACGAUGAGUGCUAAGUGUUAGGGGGUUUCCCGCCCCCUUAGUGCUGCAGCUAACGCAUUAAGCACUCCGCCUGGGGAGUACGGCCGCAAGGCUG
rnacentral:rRNA from 1 species